rnacentral:rRNA from 1 species
AGUGAACGCUGGCGGCAGGCCUAAUACAUGCAAGUCGAACGGCAGCACAGCAGAGCUUGCUCUGUGGGUGGCGAGUGGCGGACGGGUGAGGAAUACAUGGGAAUCUGCCCAGUCGUGGGGGAUAACGUAUGGAAACGUACGCUAAUACCGCAUGCGCCCUACGGGGGAAAGCCGGGGACCGCAAGGCCUGGCGCGAUUGGAUGAGCCCAUGUUCGAUUAGCUAGUUGGCGGGGUAAAGGCCCACCAAGGCGACGAUUGAUAGCUGGUCUGAGAGGAUGAUCAGCCACACUGGAACUGAGACACGGUCCAGACUCCUACGGGAGGCAGCAGUAGGGAAUAUUGGACAAUGGGGGCAACCCUGAUCCAGCCAUGCCGCGUGAGUGAAGAAGGCCCUCGGGUUGUAAAGCUCUUUUGUCCGGAAAGAAAGCAAUCGGUUAAUACCCGGUUGUUCUGACGGUACCGGAAGAAUAAGCACCGGCUAACUUCGUGCCAGC